UGGCACUAAUAGCGUUCUUGAUUGUGCCCACUCGAGCAGGUGAUAAUGACUAACCAUAUUUGCCGUGGUUUGACAAAUUUCUAUGAUGAUUGUUUGAUGUCCAAGUCCAACCAAUAAAGUUGUUUGAUUAUAUCCAUUUUGAAGGUUCUUACUUCACACGGUAAAAUAAUAAUAGUAGUAGUAGAUCACAGGAUUGGAAGUCUUGUAAUAAUUUUUGUCUUUUUAAGGUUCUGGUCAUUCACGAGAAAUUGUGCAGAGACCCAACCCAUUUCAGAAUAGCACUAUACUAUAGUAUAUGCAGCAUCUUGGUUUUACAAGAUACAAACAUUUUUGUCUCAUUCCAUUGCAUUCAGAUCCAUCAAUUACCCAAUUCAGGUUCACCAUCCUCUCUUCACUUGCACCUUCUGAUAUCAAGGCCCUGUCAAAAACUUCAACCGUCCACUCCUCGCUAACAACUGAGUGCACCCAUUUUGCCAAAUCGAACCCGUUAUUUUCGACCAAUUUCCCUGUCAAAAGCUCCAGAAGAAUCACACCGAAGGCAUAGACAUCGACCUUGAAGGUGCUAUAAAGGCGGCUACUCGGAGCAUUCUGUUUGUAGCUAUCAGUUUUCGAUAGCAAUGAUUGAUCUUGGUUUUCAACCACCAUUAGACCAUAUUCACUGAUGCAUGGUUCCAUAUUCUCAUUAAAUAAUAUGUUUGUGGAUUUCAGGUUUCCAUGAGCAAUUCCAUCUUCCCAAAAUUCCUGAUGAAUAAAUGCUAAUGUCUCAGCAAUUAUGGUUGCCACAUUCAGUCUGCUUCCCCAGUCAAAUACCUGACCAUUCUGGGAUCCUGAGAUCAACAAUAGUACAAAAGUGUCACUGUAAAGAGAACAGCAGUCAAGGAUAGUUUAUUUUUUUCAUACUGAGUUAGUCUAAUUAGAGAGUUGUUAGCUGGUUAACUAAUAUGCUACAGUUAAUAGUUUUGUAUAUAUACACUAAUAUAUAAAUAUCUUUUGAAACAGUAAUUACUGAUCCUGAUGAAAUUACAAUUCAAGAGUAUAGGGAGGAUUUAGGGUAUAGGCAUAUACUAUACCAUGAAGAAGUUUGAAGAGGCUGCCAUUCUGCUGAAAUUCAUACACCAAAAGCUUCUCUUCCUUGGAGCAAUAGAAGGCGACUGGAGACAAAAAUCUUGGAUGCUUCACUUGUUGUAUCCUCUGUAUCCUCUUCUUGAAGUCUUCACUAGAAAUGCCCAAGUACUUGAUCCUCUUCACUAUCAGGAUUAUCUCAUCAUUAAGCAAGACCUUGUAGAGGCUCCCAUGCUUUCCUUUUCCAAGCAACUCAGCUGGAGCUCGAAGCAAGUCCUCAAAUUUCAGCUCCUUCACCAAAGAACUUGUAAGAACCACAAGUGCUGAUGAAGGCAUUCCAUUUUCCGCUGAUGUAAUUGAGUACUCCGAUCUGUACUCUGCUCUGUUCCCAGCAGUUCUGGAUUCGCCUAAAGUAGCAUUAGUUUUGUUGCCGGUAUCUGUUGCCACCAUAGGAUCGAUUUUUGCUUCUUUAGACUUCCUAUUACUGAUAAAUUUCAGAGCAAUUAAUAACAGAAUAACCAGGGCAAGAAUUAUAUAGCCCGAGUA